rnacentral:lncRNA from 1 species
AAUCAGCUCCUGCUGCUCCCUGGCACCUGGGCAGGUUAACGUGGAUUACGCUAACCCAGGCAAAAAAAAGCCAGCAUUGCAUGGAAGUAGAUCCAACGCAGCUGGAAAACGGACUGCAGGGGGCCUACGCCCUCCCAGGAUUAUAUGUAAAUGUUGUGGACAGAGCGCCUUUCCCCGAUUCUACCAUCUGAAUGGGCAAAAUUUGCUAGUAACACAGAAGUAAGCUGCACUCCCCUGGUGUCUGAGAAGCUGCAUAAUAAAAUACAGAGACUUUGAUUCCACUGGAUUUUUGCUGCAGCUUGGGUACAAGAAGCGAUAAAACCUGAGAGAAAAUAAACAGAAAAUGCCUUAAAUUCAAACUGAAUUCCUUUAACAGCCCCGUUUCCCCACUGAUUGUCGCAAGACUAAAACUGGUCUAGACCUUCCUACCUGGAAUUGCUUAGUGUACAGUAACAAUUGUUCUUCCUAAUGGAUUUUAACACGUGAUGGAAAGAAUUUUUCUUCCCUUUUAUCUCGCCUCCUUUGAUGGGAAAAUUACCCCCCUACUGUGAGUUACAACAGGGCGGUUAACCAUUACAGAAAGCAAUUUCAGGGUGAGGGAAGUCAAAUAUGCUGCUGUUACUGGUUAACAGUUAAAUUUCUCUACUUGCUGCUGGUUUUCUUCUAUCUAAUAAAGGGGAGAACCAACCAU